UCCACGCCGUAAACGAUGAGAACUAGAUGUUGGGGGGGUUGCCCCUCGGUGUCGCAGCUAACGCGUUAAGUUCUCCGCCUGGGGAGUACGCCGGCAACGGUAAAACUCAAAGGAAUUGACGGGGACCCGCACAAGCGGUGGAGCAUGUGGUUUAAUUCGAUGCAACGCGAAGAACCUUACCUGCCCUUGACAUUGACAGAAUCCCGUAGAGAUAUGGGAGUGCUUCGGCCUGG
rnacentral:rRNA from 1 species